AGCUUUGUGCAGUGGCAGUACCGUGGCCAAUGAGGUUUAUCUGAGGUGCGAUUAUUGCUAAUUAAAAGGGGACAUGAGACCUGCAUUAUUCAAAAAUGUCAAUGUCAUAAAACAAAGGGUGAGCAACUUUUCUAAGAUAAAAAGACAC